UCUAGGUUGGAUCCACAGUUUAGCUAUUGUGAAUUGUGCUGCAAUAAACAUUGAUGUGGCUGUUUCACCACUUUCUUAUGGAAUGGAACCCAAAGAGAUAAGCACUGUGCUCCAACCCCUUCCCACACCCUCCCCAAAGGCUGCCAAUUGACAACCUCUGUACUGGAUUCUACUAUCACCUCUGCCAGUAUAUUGCUUCAUUUAAUCUUCACAUUGCCCUAUAAAGCAAAUAUUAUUAUAUCCAUUUCACUGAUAAGGAACUGAUUACAGAGAGAGUAUGCAGUUUAUGCAAGCACCUGCUUUGCCUACCUGAAAAAGGUGAUUGUUAGACAUAACAAAAAAAUGAAUAUUAAAACGCGUGUCAAAUAUACAUGGCAUUUGUAAAGAGCUAAAUGCAAAGCACGCUAUUGUGUAAUUUUAAUUUGUUUAACAAAAAUAUAUCAAAAGGUUUCUAUAGGUUAUGCACUCUCUCCAUGCGGUAAUAGGCAAUGAAUGAACCAGAUGACAAAUCCUUUCCUGUACAGAGCUGACAUUCUAUUGAAAUAUCCAGACAAUAAACUAAAUAAAUAUGUAAAUUAUAUAAUAUUUAGAAAGUGAUAAAUGAUGAAGAGAGACAGGAAAAGGGAGAUUGGGAGCUAUGAAGGGCAGGCGCAUUUAUUAAUAAAGUGGUCAGGGAGGGCUUCUGCACAGGAGAGGUCUCCAUCCUUCCAUGAAAAGUGCAGCCCACCAGACAAAUCUGGCAGAGGUCUGUCUUUCCAAGGCCACCAACUAGGAACAUAUUCUCCCAUUUGUAAAGGAUUUUCAAAUGAUAAAGAAGAUAUGACAGAGACCAUAUGUAACCUGCAAAAUUUAAAAUAUUUACUAUCUGACCUUUUUUUUCAGGGAAAGUUUGCAGACUUGGCCCACCAUGUAUGCCAUUGCUUUGACAACCAGCUCUACACAGGUGUAAUCUGACAGCAUCUGGCCUCAGAUGUACUAAACACCCCUUGCUUUCUUCCCCCUGCCUGCCUCCAUGGAAGUCCACUUGACACUCACUCAUGUGCAGCAUAGAGAUGUGAAUUCCUUAACAGCCUAGAGGGCAACCCGUGACAGUGAAGAAUGGGCGUGAUGGAUGAAAGCCUCCCUGCCUCCCUCUAUGCCCUUGCAGAUAAUUCUGGGUUGCUGUCUAUAUGCCUCUUCAAAAGGUCCUGGUAGGUUUAAACUCUGUUUCUUUCCCUGUAGUUCUUUGCUGUUGCUGAGAGCUCUUGUUGCAGGCUCUGCUUUGGAGAGGGAGCCCAGGCUGAGACAGGAGUGACUCCAGAAAGCUGACUCUCAGGCUGGAUUCCAGAACUGGUUCACUUGCCAAUCAUCCUUAGCUGGUAGUAGGGACAACUGGAGCUGACUUCAUUACCCUGCUGGAGUGGCUUCUAAAUGAAGACAGCACAUAAUAAAUGACGUGGGGAAGCUCAAACUUCCUUGGCAAAGAACUAAGAAAAGUGCCAGAAGUUCUAAGAAGAGUCUCUGUUGAGUGUCUAGCACGUCUAGAAUGAGACUUUGAGCCUGUUGAAAAGUUGGAGAACAAUUGAAUAGAGAAUCGAUGCCAACUCUGGAAUCUCCAAGACUAUGGAGUCUGUUUAGUUUGAAAUAUGGGAUUUGGAACUCACAGUAAAGUUUUGCCCAUUCUUCUGG